rnacentral:rRNA from 1 species
AUUGAACGCUGGCGGCAGGCUUAACACAUGCAAGUCGAACGAGCGGCGGACGGGUGAGUAAUGCCUGGGAAACUGCCUGAUGGAGGGGGAUAACUACUGGAAACGGUAGCUAAUACCGCAUACCAUCAGAUGUGCCCAGAUGGGAUGAGCUAGUAGGUGGGGGAACGGCUCACCUAGGCGACGAUCCCUCGCUGGUCUGAGAGGCUGACCAGCCACACGGGAACUGAGCCACGGUCCAGCCUCCGACGGGAGGCAGCAGUGGUGAACAUUGCGCAAUGGGCGCAAGCCUGAUGCAGCCAUGCCGCGUGUAUGAAGAAGGCCUUCGGUUUGUAAAGUACUUUCAGCGGGGAGGCGGUACCCGCAGAAGAAGCACCGGCUAACUCCGUGCCAGCAGCCGCGGUAAUAC